CGAAGCUGAAAUCUCGAUUCUCAAAGCUCCAGUUCAGUUCCGAGCAAAAACAACAAGAACGAGAGACACAAGAGCAACUACUAGAGUACAGUAAAUAACCAGAUUAGCAACAAAAACACCUAGAUUCGCGACGAGACGAGGCAGACAGACAGACGCAGCUAAACUAGCAAGACCAAAGGAAAACAAAGACAAAAAAUUGUUUUACAAAAUAGAUAUGUGCUUAAAGGGGGUUGAACGGGCGAACCUAUCGAUAACAAAGGCAAAUCCGUAAAGUAGCUCAAUGCGACAAAGAUCACGCACAAAAAAAGCCACACGCACGCAUUUUUAAGCCAACCGCAAGAAGAAGCCGAACAAUCCGGAGAAUCUGCGAUGGAAGUAGGAGGUGGAGAAAGGACGGAGAAAGAGCCCAAAGCCUGGGUUUACAGUUGUUUGAUUCCACAAAUCAGAUUAGAGCGAGAGGGAGCUACUGGAGUGUGGUGAACUGGAGCGCAAUGUGGUGGGUUCAAUGGGUUGACACCCCCCCACCCCUUUUUCCACUACAUAUCCUUGCCUAUAAAAAUAUAAUCACAAGAUCCGCACGGGGAAAGCAAAUGCUAGCGACAGCUGAACCACCAGAUUUACAUCGAUCACACUUUUUAUGCCACAUCAAGCGUCGGGCACAACAACAGUGCAACGCGAAAAGAGCGCCGCAGCGAGCUAGUGCAGCGAUGACAUUUGGGCGAGACAGUCGGGUGACACGCAGACAGAGAAGAACAUCGGUGGAGAUAGAGACGGAGACAAUGGACAGACGGACGGACAGGCGAACUAACGGACGGACAAAACAGUGUGCCAUGCACUUGCAAAGAAGCAUCCUUCAAAUAUCUAAGGCAACACAUUUAUAAUACCCAAAAAAUGUAUAAAGGACUUAUUCAAAUAUAUUGAAGCGGUGUAAUUUUAAUAAUCUAUCCGAUUUAGGAGCUACCAACAUCUAGAUACAGAUACGGAUCUUCAUAUAAUAUAAUAUAUAUAAUUUUUUAUCCAAUUAUAAGAGCCUUUGACCAACCAAAUUUCAUCAAAUACUACGAAUAGUUAGAAGCUAAAGAAAAACUCCGAAUUUGGGGAACUUAAUAAUUUUACAGCAAUGAGCACCAAGAUUUUUCGAGUGUAAAAAGUGCAGGGCAGACGAUCAGACACCAGACCAUCCACACCACGCCGAGCCACAGCGAAGCAGCAUCAGCAUCAGAUUGCCGUGACCGGUACCGCCGGGCGGAGGUGCGAGCGGGAUGGGCAGCUUUUGUGUACGGACGAGGCCAUUAGAUGAUCGCCGCGGCUAAAUUUAAAUGUCUGUGCGUUUAAGUUGCAAGGCAAAAAUAAAUCUACAUAAAACGU
ensembl:ncRNA lncRNA:CR43653 long non-coding RNA:CR43653